GGUUAAGUGACUAAGCGUACAUGGUGGAUGCCUUGGCAGUCAGAGGCGAUGAAGGACGUACUAACCUGCGAUAAGCCGUGAGCAGUCGGUAAGAGACAUUACGACUCACGGAUUUCCGAAUGGGGAAACCCACUUAGCAUAAGCUAGGUAUCGCUGCGUGAAUACAUAGCGUAGCGAGGCGAACCGGGAGAACUGAAACAUCUAAGUACCCCGAGGAAAAGAAAUCAACCGAGAUUCCCUCAGUAGCGGCGAGCGAACGGGGAUUAGCCCUUAAGCAUCUUGGAAGUUAGUGGAACGGUCCUGGAAAGGCCGGCGAUACAGGGUGAUAGCCCCGUACACGAAAACAACCUUGAUGUGAAAUCGAGUAGGGCGGGACACGUGACAUCCUGUCUGAAUAUGGGGGGACCAUCCUCCAAGGCUAAAUACUCCUGACUGACCGAUAGUGAACCAGUACCGUGAGGGAAAGGCGAAAAGAACCCCUGUGAGGGGAGUGAAAUAGAACCUGAAACCGUGUACGUACAAGCAGUGGGAGCCCUUCGGGGUGACUGCGUACCUUUUGUAUAAUGGGUCAGCGACUUACAUUUUGUAGCGAGGUUAACCGUAUAGGGGAGCCGUAGGGAAACCGAGUCUUAACUGGGCGUCUAGUUGCAAGGUGUAGACCCGAAACCGGGUGAUCUAGCCAUGGGCAGGUUGAAGGUUGAGUAACAUCAACUGGAGGACCGAACCCACUAACGUUGCAAAGUUAGGGGAUGACCUGUGGCUGGGGGUGAAAGGCCAAUCAAACUCGGAGAUAGCUGGUUCUCCCCGAAAGCUAUUUAGGUAGCGCCUCGGACGAAUACUACUGGGGGUAGAGCACUGUUUGGGCUAGGGGGUCAUCCCGACUUACCAACCCCAUGCAAACUCCGAAUACCAGUAAGUAAUAUCCGGGAGACACACGGCGGGUGCUAACGUCCGUCGUGAAGAGGGAAACAACCCAGACCGCCGGCUAAGGUCCCAAAGUUCUGGUUAAGUGGGAAACGAUGUGGGAAGGCUCAGACAGCUAGGAUGUUGGCUUAGAAGCAGCCAUCAUUUAAAGAAAGCGUAAUAGCUCACUAGUCGAGUCGGCCUGCGCGGAAGAUGUAACGGGGCUCAAACCAGGCACCGAAGCCGCGGAUUCACGCUAAGCGUGAGUGGUAGGGGAGCGU
rnacentral:rRNA from 2 species